UGGGGAAUUUUUCACAAUGGGGGAAACCCUGAUGCAGCGACGCCGCGUGAUUUAGAAGGCCUUCGGGUUGUAAAAAUCUUUUCUAUGGGAAGAAAAUGACAGUACCAUAGGAAUAAGGACCGGCUAAUUACGUGCCAGCAGCCGCGGUAAUACGUAAGGUCCGAGCGUUGUCCGGAAUCAUUGGGCGUAAAGGGUACGUAGGCGGGUAAGCAAGUUAGAAGUGAAAUCCUAUAGCUCAACUAUAGUAAGCUUUUAAAACUGCUCAUCUUGAGGUAUGGAAGGGAAAGUGGAAUUCCUAGUGGAGCGGUGAAAUGCGCAGAUAGUAGGAGGAAUACCGGUGGCGAAGGCGACUUUCUGGCCAUAACCUGACGCUGAGGUACGAAAGCGUGGGUAGCAAACAGG
rnacentral:rRNA from 1 species